AGUUGUUGAUCUGUGUGAAUCAGACUGCGACAGUUCGAGUUUGAAGCGAAAGCUAGCAACAGUAUCAACAG
rfam:Zika virus isolate ZKC2P6, complete genome